GCAAAGCAGACAACAAAUCCAUGAGGGGUUGAUUGUAGUCAUCGAAAGAAAGAACAGAAUCAACAUCAGAUUGAUCAAUUCCUGCACUCUUGAGGUCUAUGCAUGAGACCUUGAAGCCAGAGUUCUCCAUUAGGCACCUGAUUUUGUACCAGCACCAACCUCCUCCACCAACGCCAUGCACCAGCACAAAGUGCUGCUUCAAGGGAUCAAUUGUUCCUCUUGAAUCACCACUUUCCUCCCUCACUGACAUGGCUUUCUCUGCCUUCACCACCAUGAUGCUUCGCCCAGGUAAAAAAUGAAUGACUUUCUUGAACAAUUGGAAUCAAAUACCAAUGAAGAUGAUGAACUUAUGGAGCAAGCAUCUUAUGUGGUUGUGUUUAUUGGUGAAUAUGCAAUAAAACAUCUAUGUAAAGAGAUAUGUAGAACCAACAAACAAAUAGGGCAUGCAUGGGUGCAAGAAGUAUUGCAAGGUCAUCCUAUUCAUUGUUAUGAGAUGUUUUGUAUGGAAAAACAUAUUUUUUACAUGCUUUGCUCUAAAUUGGUUGAUCACGUGAAAGGAAAUAAGAACCUUCAAGAGAGGUUUUAAGACUCUGAAGAAAAUAUGAGUAGACAUCUCCAUGAGGUAUUAAUUGCUCUCCUUAA